AAUAAUUUUUGUGAAAACCGCGUAUUACCCAAAAGAUCGUCUUUUUUUCAAACCCGCCAUCUCGACUAACGGUUUCUGUUGUCAGGUCAUCGUCUCCAUUGAUCAAACCCAGCAAAGCCAUGGCCACCAAUCUCCCAUCUCUCCAAACCCCACAAACCCUCUUUGCUUCCGUUGACAUGGGCACGAACUCUUUCAAGCUUCUCAUCAUUCGAGCUUAUCCCAGCGGAAAGUUCUUCACUUUGGACCGUGUUAAAGAGCCCGUGACUCUUGGUCGCGACUUUACGUCAUCUUUGCACAUCUCCAGUGAGUCAUUCUCUCGCUCAAUUGAAUCCUUACUUAAAUUUAGAACCUUGAUUGAAGCUUACAAAGUGGAGAAGGAUCAAACACGUGUUGUUGCAACUGCGGCUGCACGUGACGCUAAAAAUAAGGAACAGUUUGUUAAGAGUGUUGAGGAGAAUGUUGGGUUUGAAGUUGAUGUGUUGAGUGGUGAAGAGGAAGCUGAAUUUGUGUAUCUGGGUAUGCUUCAGUUUUUGCCGGUUUAUGAUAAGUUAGUUUUGGGGAUUGAUAUUGGAGGUGGAUCCACCGAGUUUGUUGUUGGGAAGAGAGGGAAGAUUGUGUUUUGUGAGUCUUUGAGGUUGGGGCAUGUGGGGUUAAGUGAAAAGUUUGGAACUUCUGAGGGUGAAGUUGAGAAAAUGCGGAAGUUUAUUAGGAUGGUUGUGACAGAAAGUGGGUUGGUUGAGAGAGUGAGGGAGAGUGGUUUUGAGGUGGCUGUUGGUUGUUCUGGUACUAUUAGAGCUCUUGAGAAAGCUGUUUUUAAUGGUUAUGAUCAGAGGUUUGUGGAUAAUGUGGGGGUUUUGGGGGUUUGUAAGAGGGAUUGGAGGUUGAGUAGAGAGGGAUUGAAGAGUGUUGUUGAGAGGUUGUGUUCUGGGGGAGGAGAUGGAGAGAGGGUUAGGAAAGAGAGUUUUUUUAAGAGGAGAUCAGAGUUUAUUGUUGCAGGUGCAGUGUUGUUGGAUGAGAUUUUUGAGUUACUUGGGAUCGAAGAAAUGGAGGUUUCUGGGUAUGGAUUGGCAGAGGGUGUUAUUGCUGAUAGUUUGGCUAAGAUCUUUGAUGGAUAUGAUUUGAAUGCGAAUGCUAGGUGGCGGUCUGUUGUGCGGCUUGCAAUGAGGUUUAGCGGUACAAAGAAGAUGAAAUCUGCUGCACAAUGUGCCAGCAUUGCCAAGGAUAUUUUUGACGGUUUAAGAAAAUGUGAUGAGCUUGCCAACAUUCAAGUUAAACUUGGUGUCUCUUUGGAUAACAAAGAUCUUGAAUUUCUUGAAGCUGCUUGUUUGCUUCACAAUAUAGGACUUUUCAUUAGUAAAAAGGGCUAUCAUAAGAAGUCUUGUGAAAUCAUUAUGAAUGGUGAUCAUCUUUAUGGAUACAGUACUGAGGAAAUCAAGUUAAUUGCACUGCUUACUAGAUAUCACCGGAAGAAAUUCCCCAAGUUUAGUCAUUCUUCUUUAAAGGAGUUUUCUGGAGAGGUAAUCCAGAAAUUCAAAAUGCUCUGUGCAAUACUGCGCUUAUCUGUUAUAUUACAGCAGAAUGAAUCUGUGAACCUACAGGAGAUGGAAGUUUUUCAUUCUCAUGAAGGUUUUAAGCUGGUAAUCCAGGAAGUGAGGGAUCGACCUUCUUUGCAUGGUAUAUCACUACCCACAACUGAAGACAUUGGCCCAGAACUAAGGCAAGAGUUAGAAUACUUUAACAAGGUAUUCAAGCAAGAAUUAUUGAUUAUAGUUCCAUCAUCCAGUUCAAGUAACUCAAUAGAUAAAGCUACUUCUGCAAGAGAUGUUGAUCACUUGUAAAAAUAUAUAAGCUCAUACUACUUCCUCAUAACCACUUCAAGUUUAAUAGCCUUAGAGAGGAGCUGCACUCAGCUUGUAGGAUCUUGGCUGGGAAGUGUUGUGCUCAACUUUUGACCAGUCUACAGAAGAAAUCAAACCGAUAUUCCCAGUGAGCUAAGUCAGGAGGAUGAUGAUGAUUCUACUCGGGAGAGAAGUGGGUCGAAAUCCUUUUCCGAUUGCUGCUCUUAUGUUUAGUUCCCUGUCACAUCUGUGAAUUGAGAGCACUUGCAGAAACACAGAGUAGGAGCAGACUUUUCAGGUUGCGGAUUUCUGUACAAAACUUGAAGAAGCCGAGUUUCUUGGAGGGAAAGGAGGUGCCGAUCCGGGCCAUUUUCGAUAUGUAAAAGUUGAAGCAAAAGCUAGAAAGCUGCUUAUGAGAAGUCACCUUCACAUUUCCCAGUAUGGUGGCUUAGACAGAGACCUUUCAGUGAUGCCAGCAAAUCCUUCCUAGUAAUAGUAUGAGAAAUGAGAUUGAGAUACCAACUUGUUUGAAGUUGACAACCCAGAAGUGCUUUUCCAAGUUGAAUGAAAAGAUCUUUUACUUGCCAUCCAAAUCUCAUUUUAUCAGAAGUGCUUUUUCUUCCUUUUUCCCAUCAAUAAUCCAUUGGAAUUGAGAAACUCUGUCAUGUGCUUCUCAAAAGCUGCUUUUUUUCUAGUCUAUAACUGUUUUAUUAUGCUUUUUCUCCAUU